rnacentral:lncRNA from 1 species
UUUUGGUAUUCAUUCUAAUGUUUACAGUAAGAUCAAGAUGGAUAAAAUGAAGAAAGAAAAAAGUGAAAGGAAAGAAGAAGAAGAAAAAGAAAAGAAAGGGAGGAAGAAGAAAGAAAGAAAGGAAAGGAGGAAGAGAUGAAAAAGAAAGAAAGAGAAAAAGAAACAAAGAAAUAAAGGAAGGGAUAAAAAAAUAAAGAAA